rnacentral:rRNA from 1 species
GUCCAGACUCCUACGGGAGGCAGCAGUGGGGAAUAUUGCACAAUGGGGGAAACCCUGAUGCAGCGACGCCGCGUGAGCGAUGAAGUAUUUCGGUAUGUAAAGCUCUAUCAGCAGGGAAGAAGAUGACGGUACCUGACUAAGAAGCCCCGGCUAACUACGUGCCAGCAGCCGCGGUAAUACGUAGGGGGCAAGCGUUAUCCGGAUUUACUGGGUGUAAAGGGAGCGUAGACGGCGAUGCAAGCCAGAUGUGAAAGCCCGAGGCUCAACCCCGGGACUGCAUUUGGAACUGUGUGGCUGGAGUGUCGGAGAGGCAGGCGGAAUUCCUAGUGUAGCGGUGAAAUGCGUAGAUAUUAGGAGGAACACCAGUGGCGAAGGCGGCCUGCUGGACGAUGACUGACGUUGAGGCUCGAAAGCGUGGGGAGCAAACAGGAUUAGAUACCCCUGUA